UGCUGUUUCAGACCUCAUCAGCCAGCUCAUCUCUUUUCUGCUCCGCAUGACGUCUGGAUCGUUUAGAAGCUGCAAGUUCCUCUUGAAGUUGGAGAAUUUCUGCUUCUAUUUUUGACUCUAGAUUCAUUCAUCUCUUUCUGAUUCUCCUCUGAUUGAGCA